GUGCCAGCCGCCGCGGUAAUACGGAGGGUGCAAGCGUUAAUCGGAAUUACUGGGCGUAAAGCGCACGCAGGCGGUCUGUCAAGUCGGAUGUGAAAUCCCCGGGCUCAACCUGGGAACUGCAUUCGGAACUGGCAGGCUAGAGUCUUGUAGAGGGGGGUAGUAUUCCAGGUGUAGCGGUGAAAUGCGUAGAGAUCUGGAGGAAUACCGGCGGCGAAGGCGGCCCCUGGACAAAGACUGACGCUCAGGUGCGAAAGCGUGGGGAGCAAACAG
rnacentral:rRNA from 1 species